rnacentral:rRNA from 1 species
GACGAACGCUGGCGGCGUGCUUAACACAUGCAAGUCGAGCGGAAAGGCCACUUCGGUGGUACUCGAGCGGCGAACGGGUGAGUAACACGUGAGUAAUCUGCCCUUGGCUUUGGGAUAGCCACCGGAAACGGUGAUUAAUACCGGAUACGACCAUUACACGCAUGUGUUGGUGGUGGAAAGUUUUUCGGCCAGGGAUGUGCUCGCGGCCUAUCAGCUUGAUGGUGAGGUAAUGGCUCACCAUGGCUUCGACGGGUAGCCGGCCUGAGAGGGUGACCGGUCACACUGGGACUGAGACACGGCCCAGACUCCUACGGGAGGCAGCAGUGGGGAAUAUUGGACAAUGGGCGGAAGCCUGAUCCAGCAACGCCGCGUGAGGGAUGACGGCCUUCGGGUUGUAAACCUCUUUCGGUAGGGACGAAGCGCAAGUGACGGUACCUACUAAAGAAGCACCGGCCAACUACGUGCCAGCCGCCGCUGUAACAC